rnacentral:rRNA from 1 species
GAGAGUACGAGGUAGAUAGGCUUAAGGUGGAAGCGCAGCAAUGCGUGUAGCUGAUAAGUACUAAUCGGUCGAGGGCUUAUCCUU